GCAAAUAUAGUUUAACAAAAACAUUAGAUUGUGAAUCUAAAUAUAGAAGUUUAAACCUUCUUAUAUGCU
rnacentral:tRNA from 1 species